CUGAGAAGAAAGUUUGUUUGUGCAGUUUUCCCAAAAGUGUUUUCAUGCAGGAAAACAAAGACAACUCCACGCAAAAAUCAAUACCAGAAAAAACAAACUGAUAAAUGUGAGCAGCUGAGUCUUUGUCAGGUGAUUAUUUUUCACUCAAAGCUGUGUGACUCUGUCGUCCUAACUUCCCUGAAAUGGUUUCGUUCGUUCUUCUCUCACUCUUUCAUUUUUUUUAGGUGGAGGAGGAGAAGUGAGAGCGGUGUGUGUCGGUGGGACAUGUUUCCCGUCUGUCCUCCAUCCCGUCCCUCAGGUGAGUUUCUGGAAGCCUCCGCCUGCAGCAGCACUGACUCACCUCCGCUGACAUUCAGCCCACACUCAUGUCUGUCCUCUCUCUCUCUCUCUCUCUCUCUCUCUCUCUCUCGCUCUCUCCUCCUCUGCCUGCAGCUCUCUCGCCCCUCCCUCACCCUCUCUCUCUCUCUCUCCCCCUC